CACCGCCCGUCACACCACGAGAGUUGUUUGUACCUGAAAUUAUCUUAGCUAACCUUUAUCGGAGGCGGAUUAUGAAGGUAUGGAUGAUGAUUGGGGUG
rnacentral:rRNA from 1 species